rnacentral:rRNA from 1 species
UACGGGGGGGGCAAGCGUUGUUCGGAAUUACUGGGCGUAAAGGGCUCGUAGGUGGCCAACUAAGUCAGACGUGAAAUCCCUCGGCUUAACCGGGGAACUGCGUCUGAUACUGGAUGGCUCGAGUUUGGGAGAGGGAUGCGGAAUUCCAGGUGUAGCGGUGAAAUGCGUAGAUAUCUGGAGGAACACCGGUGGCGAAGGCGGCAUCCUGGGCAGUAGCUGACGCUGAUGCGCGACAGCGUGGGGAGCAAACAGG